CGGUGCCCCGCUCCGCCCGGCGCGCCGGGAGCCGGGAGCAUGGCCAGGAAGGAGCCGCUGCUCAGCGCCCUCAGAGGCGGCGUGCUGCGGCUCCGGGACGGCAGCGGCCCCUGCACGGACGCCUCGCCGCACCUCGCCUCCUUCUGCCAGCUCCUGGAGGCCAUCCUGCGCAAGGGACUGAGACAGCCGCUGCUGAGCUUUGGGAGACGCGACUACUGG